AAACUUUCAACAACGGAUCUCUUGGUUCUCGCAUCGAUGAAGAACGCAGCGAACUGCGAUAAGUAAUGUGAAUUGCAGAAUUUUGUGAAUCAUCGAAUCUUUGAACGCACAUUGCGCCUUUUGGUAUUCCAAAAGGCAUACCUGUUUGAGAGUCAU
rnacentral:rRNA from 1 species